rnacentral:sRNA from 1 species
AGACCAGAAGAUAUAUAAGCCUUUCAUGUUUACAUGAAAAUGGCUUAUAUAUCUUACUGGUCGCAAAAACAUGAGAACGUAGCAAAUUGCUUCAGCAAUUUAGCGAAGUUCGAAUGUUUUAGGAUUGCGAGAGUUUCGAAGAAACGAAGCAAUCCGUUUGCAUC